rnacentral:tRNA from 1 species
GGCUGUGCAGUGCAAUGGAUAGCGCAUUGGACUUCUAGGCGGUGAGAUGAGCCAUUCAAAGGAUGUGGGUUUGAGGCCCACCAGAGUCA